GGAUGUGAAGUCGAUCUGACUUCAACAGCUGUCACCCCACUCAUCACCAGGGUUGAUUGGGCUGCUCUGGCUGGCUAGGUGGCUGUCCCCUUCCUCCCUCACUGCUCCAUGUGCAUCUAGCCAGAGGCUGCACACUCAGUGGAAGAGGACCACCUUCCCCAAUAGAGGAGGAUCGGCCGGUCUUCGAGCAAGGGAGUAGUUGUGCUCGCUUCCCUGCUAGACCCUCCAAACAAGCUCUCAAGAAAGCUUGCUGCAGUGCAGAGGACUCUGGUUUAGUUAGCAGCACUGCCAGGCU
rfam:Mus musculus chromosome 8, GRC primary reference assembly.